GUAGGGAAUAUUGCGCAAUGGACGAAAGUCUGACGCAGCGACGCCGCGUGAGUGAUGAAGGCCUUAGGGUCGUAAAGCUCUGUUGAAUGGGAAGAAAAAAAUGACGGUACCAUUCGAGGAAGGACCGGCUAACUUCGUGCCAGCAGCCGCGGUAAUACGAGGGGUACUAGCGUUGUUCGGAAUCAUUGGGCGUAAAGGGUGUGUAGGUGGCCAUGUAAGUCAGGUGUGAAAGCCCCGGGCUCAACCCGGGAAGUGCACUUGAUACUGCGUGGCUUGAGUACCGAAGAGGGUAGUGGAAUUCCAGGUGUAGUGGUGAAAUACGUAGAUAUCUGGAGGAACACCGGUGGCGAAGGCGGCUACCUGGUCGAGUACUGACACUGAGACACGAAAGCAUGGGGAUCAAACAGGAUUAGAUACCCCGGUAGUCC
rnacentral:rRNA from 1 species